rnacentral:rRNA from 1 species
AGGGGUGGGGGUUUCCCGGUGUGCCUACGGAAAGGUAGCAGUGGGGAAUAUUGGACAAUGGGCGCAAAGCCUGUUCCCUCAAUGCCGCGUGAGUGAUGAAGGCCUUUGGGUUGUGAAGCUCUUUUACCCGGGAUGAUAAUGACAGUACCGGGAGAAUAAGCUCCGGNUAACUCCGUGYCAGCAGCCGCGGUAAU